AUAGGAUCUACCUAGUAGUACGGAAUAAUUGUUGGAAACGACAACUAAUACCGUAUACGCCCUACGGGGGAAAAAUUUAUUGCUAUUAGAUGAGCCUAUAUUAGAUUAGCUAGUUGGUGGGGUAAUAGCCUACCAAGGUAAUGAUCUAUAGCUGAUCUGAGAGGAUGAUCAGCCACACUGGAACUGAGAUACGGUCCAGACUCCUACGGGAGGCAGCAGUGGGGAAUAUUGGACAAUGGGCGAAAGCCUGAUCCAGCCAUGCCGCAUGAGUGAAGAAGGCCUUUGGGUUGUAAAGCUCUUUUAGUGAGGAAGAUAAUGACGGUACUCACAGAAGAAGUCCUGGCUAACUCCGUGCCAGCAGCCGCGGUAAUACGGAGAGGGCUAGCGUUAUUCGGAAUUAUUGGGCGUAAAGGGCGCGUAGGCUGGUUAAUAAGUUAAAAGUGAAAUCCCGAGGCUUAACCUUGGAAUUGCUUUUAAAACUAUUAAUCUAGAGAUUGAAAGAGGAUAGAGGAAUUCCUGAUGUAGAGGUAAAAUUCGUAAAUAUUAGGAGGAACACCAGUGGCGAAGGCGUCUAUCUGGUUCAAAUCUGACGCUGAAGCGCGAAGGCGUGGGGAGCAAACAGGAUUAGAUACCCUGGUAGUCCACGCUGUAAACGAUGAAUGUUAAAUAUGGGGAGUUUACUUUCUGUAUUACAGCUAACGCGUUAAACAUUCCGCCUGGGGACUACGGUCGCAAGAUUAAAACUCAAAGGAAUUGACGGGGACCCGCACAAGCGGUGGAGCAUGUGGUUUAAUUCGAUGCAACGCGAA
rnacentral:rRNA from 1 species